CUGGCAACCACACCUAGCUCCCUCCCCCUGCAACCCCGCACCCCGCCUGGUAAAAGUCCAGCCCAUCUGCUGUCUGCUGCCCCACCUCCUCCGGCACCACCCCGUGCAAGCUCAGCGCCACCCAGCCCUGCACCCACCCCCAGCAUUCCACCGUCGGGUGUCCGUUGGAAGGCAGGUCUGGAAGCUCUUAGCCCAGCAUCAAACAGAGUGCUCUAGGAGCUGAGGGGAGGGCUGAAGGGCAGAGAGCAAGCAAGACAGCAGGCCUCCUUGUUACGGUUAGCAGACUCAUGAUAACGCCAGCGUGGACGCCAGCUGCUCUCUGGGCUGUGGAAUUCCAAGGCUUGGCACAGCACUGGCUUGCAGCUUCUCACCUGAGCAGGAGAUAACAGGGAGCUUGGACAAUAGUAGCUCCAGGCCCAGCGCAAACCCUUUUGGGGAGCCACAGAGCCCCAGGAGGAGAACAGAGCGGUGCUGCCUCCAGGCCUAAGCUGCCCAUGUUGAGAGGCUGUGCUUCUCCUUCGUGCUGCCGCCUGGAGACUGAUCCCCGGAGCUGCCCACCCUGCCCCUCUCCUUCCCACACCGCCCUGUGGCCAGCCUACUUCCUGCAUUUCCAUUUAACCAAGGAAACCCUUUAAAGAAGAGAGGAUCAGCCUGAUGCCAUGGCAUGAAGUCCUCCCACCCGCAGCUCUGCUCCUGUAAGCCCACAUCCCACUCAUUCCUGGGAUCAGUCCAAUGUGAUAGCAGUUCACUAGUUUUCUUCCCAGUAAAAAGCAUCUGAGCAUGGAAUACUCAAGAUUUUACUUACUAGCAGGAGUAGGCUUUAGGUUUGUAAGAAUUCGUCUCCAGCUCUCCAGAAAUAUCCACUCAUUUGUGUGCAAGGGCUGAUUGUAGUAAAAUAUGCUAUGGGCAUGUUUUGCACCUGUAAGUUCAUCAUGCAGGACACCCAUGUCUAAGAUGUCCAACCUUUAAACAUUUCAGAACACUUUGGAUGUCACAGGUUAAACCUCCUUCUUCCAUUAGGGAAACUGGCUUUAAGGCGCAGAGAUCAGCUGGACAUAGUAGGUAUGCCUGCAGUCCCAGCACUCUGGGAGACUGAGGCAAGGUGAUGGGGAGUUUGAGCCCAAGCUGGGCAACUUGGUGAUUUAGCAAAACCCUAUCUCAAAAUUUAAAAAGGGCUGGUAAGCCAGGCCUGUUGGCACAUACCUGUAAUUCCUAUACUUGGGAGGCUGAGAUAGGGGGAUCACUGUGAGUUCCAGGCCAGCCUGAACUACAUAGGGAGAUCCUAUGUCCAAGACCCAAAAAUAAAUAAAUAAAUAAAUAAAUAAAAUAAAAAGGGGCUGGUGAGUUAGCUCAUCGCAA
rnacentral:lncRNA from 1 species